UAAUACGGGAGGCAGCAGUGGGGAAUAUUGCACAAUGGGCGCAAGCCUGAUGCAGCCAUGCCGCGUGUAUGAAGAAGGCCUUCGGGUUGUAAAGUACUUUCAGCAGUGAGGAAGGUAGUAGUGUUAAUAGCACUAUUAUUUGACGUUAGCUGCAGAAGAAGCACCGGCUAACUCCGUGCCAGCAGCCGCGGUAAUACGGAGGGUGCGAGCGUUAAUCGGAAUUACUGGGCGUAAAGCGCAUGCAGGUGGAUGAUUAAGUCAGAUGUGAAAGCCCGGGGCUCAACCUCGGAAUAGCAUUUGAAACUGGUCAUCUAGAGUACUGUAGAGGGGGGUAGAAUUUCAGGUGUAGCGGUGAAAUGCGUAGAGAUCUGAAGGAAUACCGGUGGCGAAGGCGGCCCCCUGGACAGAUACUGACACUCAGAUGCGAAAGCGUGGGGAGCAAACAGGAUUAGAUACCCUGGUAGUCCACGCCGUAAACGAUGUCUACUUGGAGGUUGUGGCCUUGAGCCGUGGCU
rnacentral:rRNA from 1 species